rnacentral:miRNA from 1 species
UGGAAUUGGUGAUUGGCUG